rnacentral:lncRNA from 1 species
GAAGCCGCUAGAAUCUAAGAUUAACAUCACCAUCGUCAUCAUCAUCGUCCCUUCAUUUAUUUCAGAGAUGGGGGCUAGAAACAAAUCUCCCAAAUCUCUUAAGCCUUAUAAAUCUGAAAGUAAAACUAAGUGGCUACCUUUUUUUAUCCCUUUUCAAGAAGUUCUUCUUCCCUGCUCUUUCGAUUCGGCCUUCUUCAAGAUCCAUCGCGACCUGAGGAGAAACCAGAGCAGACUGGCCAAGUGCAAGAACCGCAGAACCACAGAAGGCCGAGGUGAGACAGAGCCUGACUUCCGCGGGGAGCGGUAGGGCGGAGCGCUCGCCCUGAUGCUCUAGCCGCCAGAAGCCUCGGUGGUUGCCUCACGGACUUGCCUCCGCGCCCGGCAUCCAGCCUCCGCACGCGAGCAGAGGGGCAGGGCGCCGGCGCGUCCUGGACUUUGCCCGCUGCCGCUGCAGCUCUACCUCCCGGUUACCCUCGCGGUCCACAGGCUCAGAGCCCAGCUUCCAAGACAAGCGGCCAGGACCGAAAAUAAGGUGCCGGGGAGUUCCCCAACUGAGAAUAACUCUCAUUCCCCUGGCUCCUCUUGGACUUGCCAAUUGGAAUCCGCCCCCCGCCCCAAACCCUUCUCUCACUGGAACCAAGCUCAGAAAAUUGGAGGGCCCACUCUCCCUGCGAACUGUCUCCAUCCCGUCCCCAGCUUCGCGCUCCCCUACCUCGGGCUUUCCCUCUGAACGUCCGCUAAGACGUGGAUUUUUGGAAGAAGAGAGGCAGACUCUAACGGGAAGCUCCCGGAGGAAGCGCACAGCGGUCUCGGACUUCGGGGCCUAGAAGGAGCCGCGGCUCAAUACGUCCAGGCUUCCUGUGGCGAAUGAUUGUAGCAGCUUGAUGUGGGAUCUCAGCGUUGGACUUCAUGGAGAAUGAAGUCAAAGUCUCUGGCCAAGACAAGAAUUACCAGACCCUUAUCAUCACCCCACCCAUCACAUUACAAUGCCCCUUCCCCCACCUUGAGCAACCUGGCCUACUCCUUCCUACCCCCUACUAAGAAAGGAAGUUGUGCUUCCCCAUCAACCUCAGAGUUAUGGACAAGAUCUAAAGCCUAGAGCUACUUUUCCUGACUAACCAUCACGUACCUUGACCUGAGGAAGAUAAUAAUGAGGAGCAAAGACCAAAUAAGGACUCACCAUUCUUCUGAAGAGUGCACUCCAUAAGGAUGACUGGAGAGGGAGGAUUACUCACAGCUGCGCGGGCAGAAACACGUGGGCUCCAUGGCCGUGACCUUCAGGCCUGCCCCAGCCGCGUCUCCAGCCGCAAGGGCUGACGCUUCUGCAGAGGCAGAGGCCGGGAAGCAGCGGCCAGCAGCCACUACUGCUGACCCUAAGUUCCUCUGUUUCUCGUGGAGUCUCCUCCGUCCAUCUGUCCCAGAGCUUGAGCUGGAGGCUGGCCCCCUACUCACCGCCUCCGCUGCAGCUGCAGCCGCCCACGCCUCCUCCGGCGCCUUGGUAAGUUCUCAACGCCUCACCCAGCAGUCCCGCCUCUUCCGCUCCCUCAGAACAGUUUUUGAUUUAUGACUUUCUAUGUAAAAAAAAUUACAAAGGUAUAAACGAAUCGCAUUUAGUUAUGCAUAUAGCAAAUCACCUUUAUAGACGGGAAAGUUUUGGAAAUUUGGGGUUUCGUUUUUUGGUUAUUUUGUUUUUUGUUUUGCUUUUUAGCACCACGCCAAGGCGUAUGGAAGUUCCCAGACUAGGGGGCCACGAAUUGGAGCUGCAACUGCCUGCCUCCACCAGAGCAAUGCCUGAUCCGUGCCAUGUCUGCAACCUACGCUGCAGCUCAUGGCAAUGCAGGAUCCUUAAUCCACUGAGGCAGGCCAGGGAUAGAACCUGUAACCUCAUGGAUACUAGUUUGGUUCUUAACCAUCUGAGCCACAAUGGGAACUCUGAGUUUCUUUCUUUUUUUUUUUUUUUUUAACCUUUUAGGACCGCACCCGGAGGCAUAGGGAAGUUCCCAGGAUAGGGGUCCAAUUGGAGCUACAGCUAUUGGCCUAUACCACAGCUACAGCAACUCAGGGUCUGAGCCACUUGUGCGACCUACACCACAGCUCAUGGCAACUUUGGAUCCCUGACCCACUGAAAGAGGCCACGGAUCAAACUGGCAUCCCCAUGGAUACUAGUUGGAUUGUUUCCUGCUAUGCUACAAUGGGAACUCCCGAGAUUUUUAAAUGAUCGAGAUUUGUGACCAGUAUUGUAAGGAAUUCCCUAUUCUUUGCUACCCUAUACUAUCCCUGGUAAUCUGGUGUCAUAAGAAAUAAAUUCUUUACAAACUUUUUAUAGCAUGCUGCAUGCAGAUGGUUCCCUCACAGCUAAGAAUUCCAUGAAGACAGAAUUUAACAUAUUUAUUGAGCACUUUUAGUGAUCACUCCAGGUAUAAAGAGAAAUGUGUUAAUCCUUGCCCUCAAAAGACCUCCUGAUGUAUUGUUGGAAAGAAGACCAAGAUAAUGACCAUUAUCAAGCUCUUAAUCAGAUGUUUUCAUACUUAAUCUUGGCACAGGGAGGCUAUAAUUAUAUUUAUUUUAAAGAAGAGGAUGGAGUUUCUUUUGUGGCUCAGCAGUUAGGAACCCGACUAGUAUCCAUAAGGCUGUGGGUUUGAUCUCUGACCUUGUUCGUGGGUUAAGGAUCCUGAGUUGUGGUGACCUGUGGUGUAGGUUGCAGAUGCAGUUUGGAUCCCCCUUUGCUGAGGCUGUGGUGUAGGCCAGCAGCUGCAGCUCUGAUUGGACUCCUAGCCUGGGAACUUCCAUAUGCUGCAGGUGCAGCCCUUAAAAAAAAAAAAAAAAAAAAAAAAAAAAG